AAUGAUUGUAUUUUAAUG
rnacentral:miRNA from 1 species